rnacentral:rRNA from 1 species
CCUACGGGAGGCAGCAGUGGGGAAUCUUGCGCAAUGGGCGAAAGCCUGACGCAGCCAUGCCGCGUGUAUGAUGAAGGUCUUAGGAUUGUAAAAUACUUUCACCGGUGAAGAUAAUGACUGUAGCCGGAGAAGAAGCCCCGGCUAACUUCGUGCCAGCAGCCGCGGUAAUACGAAGGGGGCUAGCGUUGCUCGGAAUUACUGGGCGUAAAGGGAGCGUAGGCGGACAUUUAAGUCAGGGGUGAAAUCCCAGAGCUCAACUCUGGAACUGCCUUUGAUACUGGGUGUCUUGAGUGUGAUAGAGGUAUGUGGAACUCCGAGUGUAGAGGUGAAAUUCGUAGAUAUUCGGAAGAACACCAGUGGCGAAGGCGACAUACUGGAUCAUUACUGACGCUGAGGCUCGAAAGCGUGGGGAGCAAACAGGAUUAGAUACCCUGGUAGUCCACGCCGUAAACGAUGAUUGCUAGUUGUCGGGAUGUUUACAUCUCGGUGACGCAGCUAACGCAUUAAGCAAUCCGCCUGGGGAGUACGGUCGCAAGAUUAAAACUCAAAGGAAUUGACGG